GUGGGGAAUAUUGGACAAUGGGCGAAAGCCUGAUCCAGCCAUGCCGCGUGUGUGAAGAAGGUCUUCGGAUUGUAAAGCACUUUAAGUUGGGAGGAAGGGCAUUAACCUAAUACGUUAGUGUUUUGACGUUACCGACAGAAUAAGCACCGGCUAACUUCGUGCCAGCAGCCGCGGUAAUACGAAGGGUGCAAGCGUUAAUCGGAAUUACUGGGCGUAAAGCGCGCGUAGGUGGUUCGUUAAGUUGGAUGUGAAAGCCCCGGGCUCAACCUGGGAACUGCAUCCAAAACUGGCGAGCUAGAGUACGGUAGAGGGUAGUGGAAUUUCCUGUGUAGCGGUGAAAUGCGUAGAUAUAGGAAGGAACACCAGUGGCGAAGGCGACUACCUGGACUGAUACUGACACUGAGGUGCGAAAGCGUGGGGAGCAAACAGGAUUAGAUACCCCAGUAGUCC
rnacentral:rRNA from 1 species